GGUUAAGCGACUAAGCGUACACGGUGGAUGCCCUGGCAGUCAGAGGCGAUGAAGGACGUGCUAAUCUGCGAAAAGCGUCGGUAAGGUGAUAUGAACCGUUAUAACCGGCGAUGUCCGAAUGGGGAAACCCAGUGCAAUUCGUUGCACUAUCGUUAACUGAAUACAUAGGUUAACGAGGCGAACCGGGGGAACUGAAACAUCUAAGUACCCCGAGGAAAAGAAAUCAACCGAGAUUCCCCCAGUAGCGGCGAGCGAACGGGGAGCAGCCCAGAGUCUGAAUCAGCUUGUGUGUUAGUGGAACGGUCUGGAAAGUCCGACGGUACAGGGUGAUAGUCCCGUACACCAAAAUGCACAGGUUGUGAACUCGAAGAGUAGGGCGGGACACGUGGUAUCCUGUCUGAAUAUGGGGGGACCAUCCUCCAAGGCUAAAUACUCCUGACUGACCGAUAGUGAACCAGUACCGUGAGGGAAAGGCGAAAAGAACCCCGGCGAGGGGAGUGAAAAAGAACCUGAAACCGUGUACGUACAAGCAGUGGGAGCACCUUCGGGUGUGACUGCGUACCUUUUGUAUAAUGGGUCAGCGACUUAUAUUCUGUAGCAAGGUUAACCGUAUAGGGGAGCCGCAGGGAAACCGAGUCUUAACUGGGCGUUAAGUUGCAGGGUAUAGACCCGAAACCCGGUGAUCUAGCCAUGGGCAGGUUGAAGGUUGGGUAACACUAACUGGAGGACCGAACCGACUAAUGUUGAAAAAUUAGCGGAUGACUUGUGGCUGGGGGUGAAAGGCCAAUCAAACCGGGAGAUAGCUGGUUCUCCCCGAAAGCUAUUUAGGUAGCGCCUCGUGAACUCAUCUUCGGGGGUAGAGCACUGUUUCGGCUAGGGGGUCAUCCCGACUUACCAACCCGAUGCAAACUACGAAUACCGAAGAAUGUUAUCACGGGAGACACACGGCGGGUGCUAACGUCCGUCGUGAAGAGGGAAACAACCCAGACCGCCAGCUAAGGUCCCAAAGUCAUGGUUAAGUGGGAAACGAUGUGGGAAGGCACAGACAGCCAGGAUGUUGGCUUAGAAGCAGCCAUCAUUUAAAGAAAGCGUAAUAGCUCACUGGUCGAGUCGGCCUGCGCGGAAGAUGUAACGGGGCUAAACCAUGCACCGAAGCUGCGGCAGCGACACUAUGUGUUGUUGGGUAGGGGAGCGUUCUGUAAGCCUGCGAAGGUGUGCUGUGAGGCAUGCUGGAGGUAUCAGAAGUGCGAAUGCUGACAUAAGUAACGAUAAAGCGGGUGAAAAGCCCGCUCGCCGGAAGACCAAGGGUUCCUGUCCAACGUUAAUCGGGGCAGGGUGAGUCGACCCCUAAGGCGAGGCCGAAAGGCGUAGUCGAUGGGAAACAGGUUAAUAUUCCUGUACUUGGUGUUACUGCGAAGGGGGGACGGAGAAGGCUAUGUUAGCCGGGCGACGGUUGUCCCGGUUUAAGCAUGUAGGCUGGUUGUCCAGGCAAAUCCGGAUAAUCAAGGCUGAGGUGUGAUGACGAGGCACUACGGUGCUGAAGUAACAAAUGCCCUGCUUCCAGGAAAAGCCUCUAAGCAUCAGGUAACAUUAAAUCGUACCCCAAACCGACACAGGUGGUCAGGUAGAGAAUACCAAGGCGCUUGAGAGAACUCGGGUGAAGGAACUAGGCAAAAUGGUGCCGUAACUUCGGGAGAAGGCACGCUGGUGUGUAGGUGAAGCCCCUGCGGGUGGAGCUGAGACCAGUCGAAGAUACCAGCUGGCUGCAACUGUUUAUUAAAAACACAGCACUGUGCAAACACGAAAGUGGACGUAUACGGUGUGACGCCUGCCCGGUGCCGGAAGGUUAAUUGAUGGGGUUAUCCGUAAGGAGAAGCUCUUGAUCGAAGCCCCGGUAAACGGCGGCCGUAACUAUAACGGUCCUAAGGUAGCGAAAUUCCUUGUCGGGUAAGUUCCGACCUGCACGAAUGGCGUAAUGAUGGCCAGGCUGUCUCCACCCGAGACUCAGUGAAAUUGAACUCGCUGUGAAGAUGCAGUGUACCCGCGGCAAGACGGAAAGACCCCGUGAACCUUUACUAUAGCUUGACACUGAACAUUGAGCCUUGAUGUGUAGGAUAGGUGGGAGGCUUUGAAGCGUGGACGCCAGUCUGCGUGGAGCCAACCUUGAAAUACCACCCUUUAAUGUUUGAUGUUCUAACGUUGGCCCCUUACCGGGGUUGCGGACAGUGUCUGGUGGGUAGUUUGACUGGGGCGGUCUCCUCCCAAAGCGUAACGGAGGAGCACGAAGGUUAGCUAAUCCUGGUCGGACAUCAGGAGGUUAGUGCAAUGGCAUAAGCUAGCUUGACUGCGAGCGUGACGGCGCGAGCAGGUGCGAAAGCAGGUCAUAGUGAUCCGGUGGUUCUGAAUGGAAGGGCCAUCGCUCAACGGAUAAAAGGUACUCCGGGGAUAACAGGCUGAUACCGCCCAAGAGUUCAUAUCGACGGCGGUGUUUGGCACCUCGAUGUCGGCUCAUCACAUCCUGGGGCUGAAGUAGGUCCCAAGGGUAUGGCUGUUCGCCAUUUAAAGUGGUACGCGAGCUGGGUUUAGAACGUCGUGAGACAGUUCGGUCCCUAUCUGCCGUGGGCGCUGGAGAAUUGAGGGGGGCUGCUCCUAGUACGAGAGGACCGGAGUGGACGCAUCACUGGUGUUCGGGUUGUCAUGCCAAUGGCACUGCCCGGUAGCUAAAUGCGGAAGAGAUAAGUGCUGAAAGCAUCUAAGCACGAAACUUGCCCCGAGAUGAGUUCUCCCUGAGACUUUAAGUCUCCUGAAGGAACGUUGAAGACGACGACGUUGAUAGGCCGGGUGUGUAAGCGCAGCGAUGCGUUGAGCUAACCGGUACUAAUGAACCGUGAGGCUUAACCUU
rnacentral:rRNA from 1 species